rnacentral:lncRNA from 1 species
AUGAUAUGACAUGGUAUGAUAUGAGAUAGAGAAGACCAGGCGUGGCCUAAUCGCCCCUGGCAAUAUGUUAUAUGUAAGAGAAGACCAGGCGUGGCCUAAUCGCCCCUGGCAUAGUUGGACAUGUUAUGAUAAGAGUUAUGUAAGAGAAGACCAGGCGUGGCCUUAUCGCCCCUGGCACAGUUGGACAUGUAACGAUACGUAGAGGGCUAUUGGUGACAAGUUUAUCCUUGAUGUGAUAUGUUUGUGAUGUGA